CCCCGGGCUGACGCCCGGGGCUUUAUUCUGCCGCCCCUACGGGGCU
rnacentral:sRNA from 1 species